GACGGAGGAUGCAAGCGUUAUCCGGAAUGAUUGGGCGUAAAGCGUCCGCAGGUGGCAGUUCAAGUCUGCUGUCAAAGACCGGGGCUUAACUUCGGAAAGGCAGUGGAAACUGAACAGCUAGAGUAUGGUAGGGGCAGAGGGAAUUCCUGGUGUAGCGGUGAAAUGCGUAGAGAUCAGGAAGAACAUCGGUGGCGAAAGCAGCUCUCUGGGACGGUACUGACGCUGAGACGCGAAAGCGUGGGGAGCGAACAGG
rnacentral:rRNA from 1 species